rnacentral:rRNA from 1 species
GGUUAAGCGACUAAGCGUACACGGUGGAUGCCCUGGCAGUCAGAGGCGAUGAAGGGCGUGCUAAUCUGCGAUAAGCGCCGGUAAGGUGAUAUGAACCGUUAUAACCGGCGAUACCCGAAUGGGGAAACCCAGUGUGACUCGUCACACUAUCAUUAACUGAAUCCAUAGGUUAAUGAGGCGAACCGGGGGAACUGAAACAUCUAAGUACCCCGAGGAAAAGAAAUCAACCGAGAUUCCCCCAGUAGCGGCGAGCGAACGGGGAGGAGCCCAGAGCCUGAAUCAGCAUGUGUGUUAGUGGAAGCGUCUGGAAAGGCGCGCGAUACAGGGUGACAGCCCCGUACACAAAAGCGCAUGUGCUGUGAGCUCGAUGAGUAGGGCGGGACACGUGGUAUCCUGUCUGAAUAUGGGGGGACCAUCCUCCAAGGCUAAAUACUCCUGACUGACCGAUAGUGAACCAGUACCGUGAGGGAAAGGCGAAAAGAACCCCGGCGAGGGGAGUGAAAAAGAACCUGAAACCGUGUACGUACAAGCAGUGGGAGCCCCACCACUAAGCCAGUGGUGAACUCCACAUACGCAUCCUUUGCUGAGGAUACGGUUAACGGAGCGAAAGCGACGUUCAACCUCAAAAGAAGCAGAGGGGGCUUAGUGGUGGGGUGACUGCGUACCUUUUGUAUAAUGGGUCAGCGACUUAUAUUCUGUAGCAAGGUUAACCGAAUAGGGGAGCCGGAGGGAAACCGAGUCUUAACUGGGCGUUAAGUUGCAGGGUAUAGACCCGAAACCCGGUGAUCUAGCCAUGGGCAGGUUGAAGGUUGGGUAACACUAACUGGAGGACCGAACCGACUAAUGUUGAAAAAUUAGCGGAUGACCUGUGGCUGGGGGUGAAAGGCCAAUCAAACCGGGAGAUAGCUGGUUCUCCCCGAAAGCUAUUUAGGUAGCGCCUCGUGAAUUCAUCUCCGGGGGUAGAGCACUGUUUCGGCUAGGGGGCCAUCCCGGCUUACCAACCCGAUGCAAACUGCGAAUACCGGAGAAUGUUAUCACGGGAGACACACGGCGGGUGCUAACGUCCGUCGUGAAGAGGGAAACAACCCAGACCGCCAGCUAAGGUCCCAAAGUCAUGGUUAAGUGGGAAACGAUGUGGGAAGGCCCAGACAGCCAGGAUGUUGGCUUAGAAGCAGCCAUCAUUUAAAGAAAGCGUAAUAGCUCACUGGUCGAGUCGGCCUGCGCGGAAGAUGUAACGGGGCUAAACCAUGCACCGAAGCUGCGGCAGCGACACUGUGUGUUGUUGGGUAGGGGAGCGUUCUGUAAGCCUGCGAAGGUGGCCUGUGAGGGUUGCUGGAGGUAUCAGAAGUGCGAAUGCUGACAUAAGUAACGAUAAAGCGGGUGAAAAGCCCGCUCGCCGGAAGACCAAGGGUUCCUGUCCAACGUUAAUCGGGGCAGGGUGAGUCGACCCCUAAGGCGAGGCCGAAAGGCGUAGUCGAUGGGAAACGGGUUAAUAUUCCCGUACUUGGUGUUACUGCGAAGGGGGGACGGAGAAGGCUAUGUUGGCCGGGCGACGGUUGUCCCGGUUUAAGCGUGUAGGUGUGUGUUCCAGGUAAAUCCGGUUCACUUUAACACUGAGGCGUGAUGACGAGGCACUACGGUGCUGAAGCAACAAAUGCCCUGCUUCCAGGAAAAGCCUCUAAGCAUCAGGUAACAUCAAAUCGUACCCCAAACCGACACAGGUGGUCAGGUAGAGAAUACCAAGGCGCUUGAGAGAACUCGGGUGAAGGAACUAGGCAAAAUGGUGCCGUAACUUCGGGAGAAGGCACGCUGACACGUAGGUGAAGUGAUUUACUCAUGGAGCUGAAGUCAGUCGAAGAUACCAGCUGGCUGCAACUGUUUAUUAAAAACACAGCACUGUGCAAACACGAAAGUGGACGUAUACGGUGUGACGCCUGCCCGGUGCCGGAAGGUUAAUUGAUGGGGUCAGCGCAAGCGAAGCUCCUGAUCGAAGCCCCGGUAAACGGCGGCCGUAACUAUAACGGUCCUAAGGUAGCGAAAUUCCUUGUCGGGUAAGUUCCGACCUGCACGAAUGGCGUAAUGAUGGCCAGGCUGUCUCCACCCGAGACUCAGUGAAAUUGAACUCGCUGUGAAGAUGCAGUGUACCCGCGGCAAGACGGAAAGACCCCGUGAACCUUUACUAUAGCUUGACACUGAACAUUGAGCCUUGAUGUGUAGGAUAGGUGGGAGGCUUUGAAGUGUGGACGCCAGUCUGCAUGGAGCCGACCUUGAAAUACCACCCUUUAAUGUUUGAUGUUCUAACGUGGACCCGUAAUCCGGGUUGCGGACAGUGUCUGGUGGGUAGUUUGACUGGGGCGGUCUCCUCCUAAAGAGUAACGGAGGAGCACGAAGGUUGGCUAAUCCUGGUCGGACAUCAGGAGGUUAGUGCAAUGGCAUAAGCCAGCUUGACUGCGAGCGUGACGGCGCGAGCAGGUGCGAAAGCAGGUCAUAGUGAUCCGGUGGUUCUGAAUGGAAGGGCCAUCGCUCAACGGAUAAAAGGUACUCCGGGGAUAACAGGCUGAUACCGCCCAAGAGUUCAUAUCGACGGCGGUGUUUGGCACCUCGAUGUCGGCUCAUCACAUCCUGGGGCUGAAGUAGGUCCCAAGGGUAUGGCUGUUCGCCAUUUAAAGUGGUACGCGAGCUGGGUUUAGAACGUCGUGAGACAGUUCGGUCCCUAUCUGCCGUGGGCGCUGGAGAACUGAGGGGGGCUGCUCCUAGUACGAGAGGACCGGAGUGGACGCAUCACUGGUGUUCGGGUUGUCAUGCCAAUGGCACUGCCCGGUAGCUAAAUGCGGAAGAGAUAAGUGCUGAAAGCAUCUAAGCACGAAACUUGCCCCGAGAUGAGUUCUCCCUGAGACUUAGAGUCUCCUGAAGGAACGUUGAAGACGACGACGUUGAUAGGCCGGGUGUGUAAGCGCAGCGAUGCGUUGAGCUAACCGGUACUAAUGAACCGUGAGGCUUAACCUU